UCGAACAAGGUCUCCGUUGGUGAACCAGCGGAGGGAUCAUUACCGAGUUUACAACUCCCAAACCCAAUGUGAACGUUACCAAACUGUUGCCUCGGCGGGAUCUCUGCCCCGGGUGCGUCGCAGCCCCGGACCAAGGCGCCCGCCGGAGGACCAACCAAAACUCUUUUGUAUACCCCCUCGCGGGUUUUUAUAUCUGAGCCAUCUCGGCGCCUCUCGUAGGCGUUUCGAAAAUGAAUCAAAACUUUCAACAACGGAUCUCUUGGUUCUGGCAUCGAUGAAGAACGCAGCGAAAUGCGAUAAGUAAUGUGAAUUGCAGAAUUCAGUGAAUCAUCGAAUCUUUGAACGCACAUUGCGCCCGCCAGUAUUCUGGCGGGCAUGCCUGUCCGAGCGUCAUUUCAACCCUCGAACCCCUCCGGGGGGUCGGCGUUGGGGAUCGGCCCUUUACGGGGCCGGCCCCGAAAUACAGUGGCGGUCUCGCCGCAGCCUCUCCUGCGCAGUAGUUUGCACACUCGCAUCGGGAGCGCGGCGCGUCCAUUGCCGUAAAACACCCAACUUUCUGAAAUGUGGACUCGGAUCAGGAGAAACCCGUGAUUA
rnacentral:rRNA from 1 species